rnacentral:lncRNA from 1 species
CUUCAGUUGUUCCCAAACUCUACAAUAUGAUUUUCAUAAUUUGGUUAAUUGUGUAUAACGUCAUUGCAAUACCACGUUUUGAUUGAUCGAUACGAAUGAGGCAUUCGGUGUCAUCGUUGAAGUCACCCACUGUUGCUUCGCCGAAUGUACUCACCUUAAUACAAUUUUUUUAGGAAUGUUUAUUCGCUAGAGCUUCGAGGUGUUUGUUCUUGAACGAGUUCCAUAGAGAAAAGUCGAUGGAACGCGGGCGAUGCUGCGGCUAAAAGACAUCUGUGAGCGGAAAACGUGCAGUUUCC